UAUCCUUCCAUCAAACGCGAGGAUAAAUGAUUUAACCUUUAAAAACAUGGUCUCCCAUAAAAAUCCCAAACAUCUAUUCAGUGGUUCAGACAUAUUAGUUUUUACUAAUGGAUUCAGAGUUACGAAUGAUAUGUCUCUCAAUAGCGAAGCCUUGAUUUUUGGGGUCAAUUUUACCGAAUUAAUAUCUGAGGCGUUGAGGAAGAGUGACGACAUUAAUUUUCCCAACAACGUUACCUUUGCAUCGCACAUUCAUUUCAAAGGACCGGUCACUCUGAUGGGAACCCUGAAUACAAUACCAAUUAAUAGAGAUAACUUAUUAACUAAAAAUGAUAAGCAGUAUAUAAAGACACCACUGAUAUUUCAAGAUGGACUCUGUUGUGAUAAAGCUGAAAUGGUUGUGGAAUCGGGAUUGAUAAAUGACAUCUAUAUUCAUGACUUGGAGAUAAAUUAUCUAAGAUCUGAUAAGGACAAUGUAGUCAAUAUAGCUUGGACUGUAG